GGAAGAUGGCGGCGGCAGGCUUCCCCACCCCGCUGUAUGGCCACGUGGGUCACGGGGCCUUUAGCGACGUGUACGAGCCCGCGGAGGACACAUUCCUGCUGCUGGAUGCGCUCGAGGCGGCUGCAGCCGAGCUGGCGCGUGUGGAAAUAUGCCUUGAAGUAGGGUCCGGGUCUGGUGUGGUGUCUGCAUUCCUGGCCUCUCUGAUAGGUCCUCAGGCUCUGUACAUGUGCACUGACAUCAACCCUGAGGCAGCAGCUUGUACACUGGAGACAGCACGUUGUAACCGAGUUCAUAUUCAACCAGUAAUUACAGAUUUGGUCAAAGGCUUGCUACCAAGAUUGAAGGGAAAAGUUGAUCUCCUAGUAUUUAAUCCUCCCUAUGUGGUGACUCCACCUGAAGAGGUAGGAAGUCAUGGGAUACAGGCGGCCUGGGCUGGUGGCAGAAAUGGCCGAGAAGUCAUGGACAGAGUUUUCCCCCUAGUUGCAGAGCUGCUGUCCCCAAGAGGAUUAUUCUACUUGGUUACCAUAAAAGAAAAUAAUCCAGAAGAAAUUUUGGAAACGAUGAGGAUAAAAGGUCUGCAUGGGACCACUGCACUGUCCAGGCAAGCAGGCCAAGAAAUCCUUUCAGUGCUCAAGUUCACCAAGUCCUGAUAUACCUGUGUGAUGAGAACUGCUGGAAGCUGAAUGUGUUCUCUGUAUUUUGAAACUGAAGCUAUUCCUUGAUUGGCAAAAACUAAGAAGUUUGGUGAAGAUAUGGAACAGCAGGAACUCAUGACUGCUGGCAAGGGUAUAAAGUGGCACAGUCUUCCUGGGAAAUGGAAACAAUUUGAUAUCCUCAGGUAAAGUGAUCUACAAUUCCACAACUAGAUACUACAGUAUCAAGGAUGUGUACAAAAAUGCUUACAACAAUAUUGUUUAUAGUGGGAAACACUGGAGAAAACCUCAAAUUCAUUGAGGAAAAUACAGAGAAAUUAAUAGUGGAAUAUUUCAGUAAAAAUAAGUGAAUUACUCAUCAACACAGAUAAAUUUCACAAACAUUGAAUAGAAAACUCAAAAAAUUUUAAGCGCUGGGUGUUUGGCACGGCAGUUAAGACUUUGCUUGGGAUGCCUGUAUUUCAGGUCAGAGUGCCUAGCUCAAGUCCCAGAUCUGCUUCAGAUCCAGCUUCCUACUAAUGUGCACUCUGGAAGACAGACCUGAAGACUCAAUUAGAGUCCCUGCCACCCAAUGUGAGAGAUUCAGAUGGAGUUCCAGGCUCCAGGAUUCAGCUUAGCCAAGCCCUGGCUGUUGUGAGACACUAGAUCAAAUAUUUCUUUCUCAGCCAGUGCUGUGGUGUAGUGGGUAAACCCACCACCUGCAGUGCCGGCAUCCCAUGUGGGCACCAGUUCAAGUCCUGGCUUCUCCACUUUGAUCCAGCUCUGCUAUGGCCUGGGAAAGCCGUAGAAGAUGGCCCAAGUCCUUGGACUCCUGCACCCAUGUGGGAGACCCAGAAGAAGCUCCUGGCUCCUGGCUUCGGAUCAGCCCAGCUCCAGCCAUUGCAGCCAUUUGGGGAGUGAACUAGAGGAUGGAAGACCUCCCUCUCUCUCUCUCUCUGUCUCUGCCUCUCUGGAACUCUACCUUUCAAAUAAAUAAGUAGAAUCUUUUAAAAAGAUUUCAAAUAAAAUAUAAACAAAUCUUAAAAUGUAUAAAAAGUUUUAAUAGUAUAAAUUUCAUUAAUAUAUUGUUUAGAGAUGAAUACACACAUAUGGGAGACAGAAUGACCCUUCACUCUGAAAAGUGCCCAUACCCAGAUCCCUGGAACCUGUGAAUAUGUUAGUUCAUGGACUUAACAAAUGUAAUUAAAGUUAUGGACUUUAAAAUAGGGAGACUAUCCUAUAUUAUCCAGGUGGGCCUAAUAAUCUAAUUUCAUGAGCUCUUAAAUGUAAAAAACUUUCUGGAGUCAAGAGAAACACAAUAUGAUUAGAAAAGGACACACAAGUGGGACUGGAAGCUACAGCUACAUCGUUAACAGGUUAACCAGCAGUGCUGGCAUCCCAAAUGGGCCCCGAUUCAAGUCCUGGCUGCUCCACUUCCGAUCCAGCUAUCUGCUAAUGCACCUGGGAAAGCAUCAAAAGAUGGGCCGAUUCCCUGGGCUCCUGCACUCACUUGUGUGACCUGGAAGAAGCUCCUGGCUUGGGGAAUAAACCAGAGGAUGGAAGGUAUUUUUGUCUCUCCUUCUCUCUCUCCAGCUCUUUCAAAUAAAUAAAUAAACCUUUAAAAGAGAAAACAAUUUUUGCCUUGAGAUUGGUGACCUUGCUAGUGUUCAGGUUUUUCAUUAUAGCUAUCUCUCCCUGCAUAAUAAAGUAUUCCCCCUCAAAUUAGCAGCAUACAAGAAGGGCUUAUUUCUGACAGAGAUCUGGGAGCAAUUAGUUACGGAGCUGGACUAGGGGGACUCUGGAUUCUGGCUCAGGGUUUCUGAGAUUACAAUAAAGCUGUCAGAUAAACUGAUGUUAUCUCAAGAUUGAAACAAAGUUCACUUAUACACAAGGUACUUCAAUAUGUUCAGUGAAAGUGGAUUAAAAGAUAAGGUCAUUUUGGAGUAAAAAAAAAAGAAAUUGAGAUCUGACGGCUGGCGUUGUGACGUACUGGGUUGAGCUGCUGCCUGCAGCCCUGACAUCCAGUAUGGGCCGCAUUUCAAGUCCCGAUGGUUCCAAUUCCAAUCCAGCUCCUUGCUGAUGGUCCCGGGAAUGCAGCAGAGGACAGCCCUAGUGCUUGGGCUCUUGCACCGACACGGGAGAUCCAUGUGGCUCCUGGCUCCUGUCUUUGGACUGGCCCAGCUCCAGCCAUUACAGUCAUCUGGGGAAUGAACCAGCGGAUGGGAGGCCUCUCUCUGCCUCUCCCCGCCCCUCUCUCUAACUCUGCCUUUUAAAAAAAAAUUGAGAUCCAUGCAUACGAUGGGUCUUCAGAAAUCUCUUAUGCAUAGUUGUAUGCAGGUGACUUUAGUUUCUAGACAUGUGGGCCUCUUCCUAAGACUAUUCAUGACAUCAUUUCUGAGCAAGUAACCAGGGAGAGACAGGAAGACCUAAAUGGAAGCUGCAAUCUUUUAUAAUCCUGUCAGAAAUGACAUAACAUCACUUCCAACAUUUUCUCUUGACCUGACAAAGUCCCUCUUAUCCCCAAUGGCUCAUUCCAUUAAGACAUCAGCUCAAAGUCAGAAAUGUCAUUUUGUUUUUACCCUACAGAAUUUCCUUUGCUUCUAACCUAUAGCACUGGAUGGGUCUGUUCUAUUCUAAGACUGCUAAUGUGCAAGUGAUCGUAAAUAUACUCAAAUGGAGGGCACUAGAGCAAAACAGGACUACAAAAUUGGGUCUAGGUGGAUAUGGUACCCUUCAGGUAUAGUAGUUCCUUACAUACUAGGGUUCUUCAAAAAGCUUAUGGGAAAAUGGAAUUAAAACGUAAAUUUAUUUGGUGCAAAAAUUGUGAAAGACAUCGUUUUCCUAUAAUAUACAUGUAACACAAACAUUUUGAAGUACCCUCAUACAGCUCGAGUAUACUGACUCCUUUAUCUGUAGACCUCUGAAGCUGAAGAGACAAGUGAUCUACCUCCCCACUCCCAACAUAAAAUGCUGGGACACUCAUACAGACACUCCCAGAACAGGGAGGAGAAUAGGAGAUUAAAAAGGUAUCAAUGAGGCCGGCACCGUGGCUCAAGAGGCUAAUCUUCCGCCUACCGGCGCUGG